AUACGUAGGUGGCAAGCGUUGUCCGGAUUUAUUGGGCGUAAAGCGAGCGCAGGUGGUUCCUUAAGUCUGAUGUGAAAGCCCACGGCUUAACCGUGGAAGGUCAUUGGAAACUGGGGAACUUGAGUGCAGAAGAGGAGAGUGGAAUUCCAUGUGUAGCGGUGAAAUGCGUAGAUAUAUGGAGGAACACCAGUGGCGAAGGCGACUCUCUGGUCUGUAACUGACGCUGAGGCGCGAAAGCUAGGGGAGC
rnacentral:rRNA from 1 species